CCCACCAACCCUCUGACGGCCCCAUGCCCUCUGACGUUGCCUCAACAACCGCUCCACCGUCCUCCAUAUUGCACUAUCCCCUACAAGCAUUAAAAGAGAAUAGACAGCAAGUAAGAAGAGAGUAGUAUAUAAUCAAUACAUACAAUGUAAAAAGGGGGUUCCUUUUUUCGUCAGUUUUAAAAACAAAAAGAAAUAAGAACAAACCAUUUCAAAUAUGAAGCAACAAUAGCAUUUCCUUCAGUACUUAGACACAAAAAAAAUAGCAGCCAAGCAAAAAGAACAUCUUAGAUCAAAGAAUCAAAAACUAAAACCGAAAGGUGAUUAUUUUUUUUCCUAUUUCUAUUUCGUUUUUUUAACCUAUUUUAAUCUACCAUACAUAUUAAAAUAUAAUAAGAUAAUAAAAUAAAAAUAACAAAAAAAACGAACCCGUUUUGGUGCCCAAACUUACACUAAAAAACGACGUCGUUUUACUUGGCCCGACCCGAUUCGACCCGAACACGCUUCAGGAUCCGCGUAUUUUUAACUUAAUGGGAUAUUUGUGCAAUCGGUCCUUCCGCAUUUUUGUUGUUUUAAAUCAGGUUUAUAUUUAUUUAUAAAUCGGCCCUAAAAUUUAAUCUGAUUUGCGAUCUAGUCCCUCCGUGCUGCACAGCGUUUUGGUGAAAGGGAAUAUUUGCUGUUUUAACCCUCCUAAGUUAUGCGCGCGUGGAAUUUUGGUCCUUCCCUGCUAUUUUAUUUCUAAUUUUGCCCCAAAAUGUGGUUUUAAGUUCAAUUUAGUCCUUUGGUUAAUUUACUGCUUUAUUUUUAAUUUACUUGUUUUCAUUUUCUGUAUUUUAUUUGUUAUAAUAUUUAUAUUUGUUAUAUUAAAUGUAUUUAUUAUAUGUCUUUUAAAUAUUAUGUUAUAUAUAUAUAUAUGUAUUUUCAAUAUUGUUGUUAUAUUUAUUAUUAUAUAUAUUUGUUUAGUAUAUAUGUAUAUAUUUACACGUAUAGGUUUAUUUUUAUUUCAAUAUCUUUAUUAUAUUUGUUUUUGGUAUUUUAAUAAUAUUGUUAUAUUAUUAUAAUAGUGUAUACUUUUAUUUAUGUACAUAGAUUUAUAUAUAUGAUGUAUUUUUGUUAUAUUAUAUUGUAUUUUAAUAUCGUUACCAUUAUAAUUGUUAACAUAGUGAAUGCCUUGUUAUAUAUGUAUAUGUUUUUAUGUCAUCAUUGUUGAUUAUCAUUAACUUUAAUAUGUGUCUCAUUAUAUGUCCUUAAAUAUACAUAUAGAUAUAUAUAUGCAAUAUUAUAAUAGUUUUCUUUGACAUCAUUAUCUCCAAUAUAUGUAUAUGUUAUGUAAAUAUUUUAAUGUCAUAUUAUAUAUACACUUUUACACUAUGCAUACAUACUUUUAACAUUAUAUUUUAUAUGUAUACUCUUAACAUCAUAUUAUAUAUAUAUCUUGCACAAAAUUUUUAAUACUUUACUAUAUAUAUACCUUUAUAUAUUAUAUGUAUAUUUUAGUAUUAUGUUCUUAUAUCUAUGUUUUAAUACCAUACUAUAUAUAUUAUUAUAUUUUAUUACAUAAUUAGUACCCAAGUUUUAUUAUACAUAUAUAUACUCUUUUAUUUGUGUUAUUUUCGUAUGUCAUAUUAUUCAUUUUUAUACUCAUUAUUUUCAUUAUUGCCACUUAUAUAUUAUUAUUUGGUGUACAUACAUCUUUUAUUAUUAGUAGUAUAUAAAUGUAUUUUCCUUGUCUAUAUUGUUCCAACUAUAUAUUGCACAUGUUCAUUUAUACUAUGUGUAUCUAGUAUGUAUAUAUUUAGUAUUAUUACACAUAUAUCUUUUAGGCAUUAUACUUUCAUGUGUCAUGUAUAUAUGUCAUGUAUUAUAUUUUUGCAUAUAAUCUUAUAUUAUUAUUACUAAGUGUAUUUUAUAUUUGUUCAUGACUUGUUUUUUUAUUAUUAUUUCUUUUGUAAAUAUCAUUGUUAUUUUUUUUCUAAUGCUCUAGUGUUCAUGUUAAUAUUUUUCAUUAAUAAUGUCAUUAUUUGCAUCGUUGAUUUACUUAAAAUUCUCACUUUAUAAAUAUCUUUCCCAUGUUUUAAUCAAUUUCAAUAAUCAAGGCAAUGUAUCGAUUUAACAUUAAGUUGUAAAUUUCAUCGCUAUGUUGGAUGAAAUUUAUCAGCUUGUGUUAAAAUGAUAUACCCUUCUCAAAAACUAAAAAAACUAAAACUAAAACUUCUCGUCUUUGCAAUUGGAUCACGACUAAAUGUUGCAUUGAAUUCGUAUUUUUGAAAAUCAAGACAACACAUGUUUAUACGAUCCCAAUUUUGGGCGUCGCGAGGGUGCUAAUACCUUCCUCGCGCGUAACCGACUCCCGAACCCUAAUUUUUCUCUGGAUUUUAACAUAGACCUAAACUCAGCCUUCUUUUGUUUAAAAAAUAGAUCUAAUAGGUGUCCGAUCACACCUAUAAAAAAGGGAUCGGUGGCGACUCCUUUUUAUUUCAAAAUCGAACUUCAGUUUUCAAACUUUUUCACUAGAUCGCCACAAUUAGCGACCCCAAAGUUAAAAAUUUUCACGUCGCUACAGCUAGCGACUCCGCUGGGGACUAGUUUUUGAGAGUCGAAUCGAAUAAAACACGUGUUGUCAAAAUUUUCAAAAUUUCUUGUUCAAAUUAAUAUUUAGUCGUGAUUCCAAAAUUGUGUUUUUGAAAAAUCAUGCAUUCGUAUUGCAUUGUAUAUACUUUUCUAACCUGUUGCUUUUCAGCUUUAAGUUGUAUGGUUUUAGUUUAGUUUUCAAAUAAAACGUAAAGAUUUGUGAGUUUCUCCCUACAGACCGUGCACUCGCAUUUUGCAUAACAUGAGCUCUCUACUCGGGCUCCGUCCGUUUAAGUGAAAGUAAACGCUACGCCUUCGUGAGUUAACUCGUCCCUUCGCACAGGCUAGUGAAUACUUUCGGGUUACAUAUGACUUAUGCUUUCGUGAGUUAACUUGUCCCUAUGCAUAGGCAUAAGUAAAUGUAAUCCCUUGAAUUGAACUCGUGAGCCUGUGAUGGGCUACGACUGAGGCUUCGUACUAAUUUUAGUACAUGACAGUACGGACAAUUCAAGUACCUAUCUAGAACUGAAACCGCAUAUAGUAAACCGUACGAGCCACCCAAUUAGAGCUAUGCCGAACCUCUGUCCAUUAAUAGUCACCCAAAUAAGUACACGGGGAAAGUGCCUCUUGCCUUUCAUUUUCUCUAUUUACGCAAGAAAAUUGAAUCGGGUAGCUUAAUUUGUUUCUCAAAUUAUAUUUGUUGUGGUUACUAACCAAGUCUGUUUGUUUUUAUUUUUAUUAUUCACCAUGCAUCAUAGGCAUUUCGAUUAGGAAGGUGUUGACUAGAGAUUGGUUGCCAAAAAAAGGGUUUCUAAUGGAAGAGUCAAUUAUACAAACAAUCGAGAAGAAUGUCGUGGUUCGGGACUGGUCUCUAAAAACUCAGAAAGAAAAAGGGGAUAGUCUAGUGGAGGGAUGUAUUGCUAAUCUGCCCGAGUACGUAACUGUGAAUGUUCGCCAGAAUAACCUUGAAGAUUUGGUCUGGGUUUGGAAUCAGUGGGACUCAGACACUAGGUGUAUCCUCACCAAGAGAUAUGGAGACAUAGCCAAUUUGAUUGCUGUCAACGUAGACGAACGAUUGAUUCAAGCCAUGGUCAGAUUUUGGGAUCCGGCUUACCAAUGUUUUACCUUCAAUCUAGAAGAUAUGACUCCGACUAUUGAGGAGUACGUUGCUUUGCUUCGUGUUAAAAAUGCGCAAUUAUAUAAAGUAUAUGUGAAAGAGCCUAAGCCGAUGACCUUCAAGAAAAAGUUAGUGAAAUUGACAGACAUGACUGAUGCAUAGGCCGAAAAACAGAUAAAGAAGAAAAAUGAAACCAUUUUCAUUCCAUGGUCUUCCCUACGAUAAUUAGUUCUGAACCAUCCCGACAUGUUGAAGAGAGUGAAUCUAUUUACUUUGGCUAUUUACGGUUUGAUCAUCUUCCCGAAAGUCCUUGGACACAUAGAAGUUGCGGUGGUAGAUUUCUUCGAAAGAUUAAAGCAAGGAAUUAACCCUGUCCCGACUAUCUUAGCCGAGACCUUCAGAUCCUUAAACAAUUGUAGGAAGGUGGGGAAGGGACGCUUUAUCGGAUGCGUGUAGUUACUAAAUGUCUGGAUUUUGAGCCACUUCUGAAAAGUAGAGCGCACACCGUUCCAUAUGUUUUCAAAAACAUUUGCCCUGUUGGAAGCUUAUCUCAAGAAAAAAUGGCCAAAGGAAGUCACUGAACAACAUUGGGUCUCAGUUUUUCAGAACCUUCGCGCCAAGGAUAUAACGUGGAGAGCACCGUGGAUCCGCCCUUUGGUUCUAUUAUACAAGGUUGGAAAUCAAGAUUGGGUACCACUAAUCGGAUUAUGGGGAGGAGUUGGAUAUGCCCCGUUAUUAGUCCAAAGGCAAUUUUCUUCGCGACAAUUCAUGCCCGCCACUGGAGGAUUAGCACAGUCCGAGUUCGCUUUUGCGGGAGAAGGGUAUAUGAAGAGGGUCCGAGACAUUGCAAAGUCUUGGCAGAAAAUUCAUCUGAUGGAAUUGGCUCUAUAUGCUGAUACCCUCACCCAAGAUUACGACAUAUGGAGAAAGCAAUGAGUGAACAGUUAGCAAAUCUCGUCAAUGAACUACACCGUCUAAAAUCCUUUCUCGGGAGAAAUGCCGUCUGAGCUAGAAAUGGCAAGACAAGAAUUUGAGCGAGAAAAGGCCAAGAUGUCUCGGGACCUCAGUGCUCUUCAAGAGGAAAACUAUCAAUUGAAGAUCGACGUUCAGAUUGAAAGAUCCAAAACCGAGAAAGUGCAAAAAGAAGUUGAAGUCCUGAGAAAUGACUUAAAGGAUCUCCAUCUGGAAAAUAAAAAGUUAAGAGGCACAAUAAAAAAUAAUGGGCUGGACAAGUCGUCGGCAGAAUGGAAAGAAGAAAUAAGCAACAUUAAAGGCGGGAUGGAAUUUUGGAAAGGAAAAGCGAAGAAAGAGGAGGAAAAGGCUGCGCGAGCUAUGAUAGAACUGAGGAAGAAGAACACCGAAUAUGAAGCUGUGUCUGCCGAGGUAAUGACUAGUCGAUCUAAACGUCAAGAACUACAAGAAAGGAUACGAGAGUUAGAAGAUAUGCUACAAGAUCGUCAACAACAACUAGAUACUCUCUUGAAGGCUUUGGAAGAAAAAGAUAGUUAGUAUGAUAGAGACGUUCGCGCUUACGAAGAGGGCCUCCAAGAAAAAGAAAUGCAACUUAGCUAUUUGAUCAAUGAAGUUCAUGGGGUAGCCAUGCACAUGGUACAAUUAUCGGAAGAAGCUGAAAUUCUCAUUUGCCAAUUCCCUCCAAGUCGAAGAUCAAACAUAUCAGAGUUCUUAGCACGAGUAAAGAAAUACGGCGAUAUAGCUAGGAAGUUUGUGUAAUGGUUGAAUCGAAAAUGGAAAAAUGUUUUGUAAUGAACUCUUUUGAUGAAUGAAAUGCCUAAAUAGGGGCUAUCUUGAAAUCAACUUCCAUUUCUUGCAUCUCUCAUGAUUGAUAUUCAUUUAUGCACUCAUUCAUUGCAUAUAUCUAUCCCAUAAUCAUUCGCUAAGGUUAGAAUCAUAUAAUUCGCAGUCACAACACUUCAAAUCUGGAAUCACGCUAUUCGUAUAGAACACGUCGACAAGCUAGGGCAAUGGAGGCUGAGUUCAAUGAAAGAAUCGAAAGAAUGGAAAGAGUCUAACAGGAAUUAAAAGAACAACUGGCUAAGUCACAGCAAGAGACAAGAGACUUAGUGGUGAGAUCUCGAGAAGAAUCACUCGAACAAAGGGACCAAAUGGCCAAGAUGAUGGAGAUGAUGUCAGCUUUAGUUAAAAGAAAGGGACCCAUGCAGAGCCCUGACGUCGAGGAACCUCGAUCAAGAGUGAAUCACAGUCAAGAUCCGCUCUGUCCCCCAGGAUUCACUCCACCGCAUGCCCACACAACACAAAGAGGGUACACCAAAGGGGAACCCACAGACCUGGAGCAACGGGCGGUGCCACCUGCUCACAUAGGGCAAGGAGUAUUCGUAUCAAACCCGGGGGCUAGUCCUAUUGAUCCACUCGUUCCAAAUUUGGACGAUUCAGCAGAAAUAGCCAAGUUGAAAACCGUUGACCACGAGGCUUAAGAGAAGUAUAGGAGCUUAAAAGAAAGACUCAAAGUAAUAGAGGGUACUGAAUCCUUCUCUGCACUAAGUGCCAAAGAGCUCAGUUUGGUGCUCGAUCUGGUUCUGCCUCCGAAGUUCAAGGUGCCUGAUUUCGAAAAAAUACGAUGGCACGAGAUGUCCAAAGGCGCAUCUUGUCAUGUUUUGCCGGAAAAUGACUGGUUACGUGAAUGAAGACAAGCUACUCAUACAUUAUUUUCAGGAUAAUCUAGUAGGAUCGGCUCUUCGGUGGUACAACCAGCUUAGUAGGAAAAAGAUCCGAUCCUGGAAAGACUUGGCAUCAGCAUUCUGUGAGCAAUACAAGCAUGUAUCGGAUAUGGUGCCUGAUCGAAUGACCCUACAAAUGAUGGAAAAGAAACCAGCAGAAACCUUUAGAUAGUACGCGCAAAGAUGGAGGGACGUCUCGGCCCAAGUGGAACCCCCACUAACAAAAAUAGAGAUAACCGUUCUCUUCAUCAACACUUUACGGAUAUUUUAAUAUCCAGUGAGCUUAUAGAGAAUGCCGUCAAGAGCGGUAGAAUGGAAGGUCAAGAAAGUUCAAGAAGGGUAGCGCCCAUGAAGAAGAAAGAAUCAGAAGCCCAUAUGGUGGGAAUGGGAAGCCGUUAUACCCCUAAUACAUAUCCAAACCAACCCCGACCUCAAAAUUAUCCUCCUCCGAAUUUCUAUUAUCCUCCUCAGACCCCUUACUACCAAGCACCACCUCCUCCCUACCCUGUAUACACCAUGAACAACCAAAGGCCCGUCACUACAUUCCCACAAAACACUCUACCCGCUCAAAGCCAAUCCAGAAAUGAACCAAGACCAACAAGGCCCAAUCUCGAGAAACAGUAAUUCACCCCUAUUCCUGUGUCGUAUGGGAAACUGUACCCAAAACUCUUGGAGAAGCAGUUAAUAUCUCCCCAUUACAUGCCCCCCCUAAAACCACCAUACCCAAAAUGGUACGAUCCAAAUGCUAGUUGUGCAUACCAUGCCGGGAACCAGGGGCACUUUACGAAAAACUGCCUGGCCUUCAAAAGGAGAGUCCAAAGACUCAUCGAUGUGGGUAUCUGCGAUUUGACGGCACCGGUGGUACAUCUGGGAACCCAUUCCCAAACCACACCGAAGGGAAUGUGAGCGCAGUGGGAGAGGAGGACAAACAACAAAGUAGAAGAUGAGUUUCUGAAAUAAGAACACCUCUACAGAAAAUUUGGGAGGUACUAGCUAAAAAGGGGUUGCUCUGUCAUCUUAACAGAAUAUUUGAAGGAAGAAAUGAAAAAGGUCAUUUUUUUGCGAAUUCCAUGGUUUUAAAGGACACAACAUUCAGUUCUACGAGGAGUUCAGGAGAUUACUGCAAAACAUGAUGGAUAAUAAAGAGAUUGAGAUCUUUUAUGAAUGCGAGAAGCCGAUAGAGGAGAAAUAUGCGCCUCUGACCAUCAAUCGUCUGGUUUCCUGUAUAGCGCCGACCGACCGUUAAUAAUUUAUUAUGACGCGAAGAAGAAGCCGGUAAAACCAAAAGUGAUAAUCGAGGUACCAUCUCCUUUCCCCUACAAGGACGAUAAAGUAGUACCAUGGAAAUAUGACGUCAAUAUCGUCAUACCUGAAGAUGAAAAAACCAGAGCCAUGAUUGGAAGCGUUGGGGAAGUAGAUCAUUUCACUUAUAGUGGAAGAUGUUAUUCGAAAGAGGUCGAACUAGUGAAGAAGAACAGUGACUUGAAACAGAAAGAAAAAGCACCAAUGCGUGUGACCGAAGAUGAGCAUGAAACUGUGCCUGAGCAAGAAGCUAAAAAGCCUGUGGACGAGGAGGAAGUACAGGAAUUCUUAAAAUUUAUUAAGCACAGUGAGUACAACGUGGUGGAACAAUUGAGUAAGCAGUAAGCACGAAUUUCGGUAUUAUCUCUGCUGUUAAAUUCAGAACCUCAUCGGAAUGCCUUGUUAAAGGUGUUGAAUCAAGCUUACAUGGCAAACAAUAUAUUCGUUGAAAAACUGGAUAGGUGGGUGAACAACUUGAAUGCGUAUAAUUUUAUUUCUUUUGGUGAUGAUGAAAUACCGCCCAAUGGUAGAGGCUCAGUGAAAGCAUUGCAUAUCACAACCCGUUGUAAGGGCUAUAUAAUACCGAACGUGCUCAUCAAUAAUGGAUCGGCACUCAAUGUCAUGCCUUUGGCCACACUUUCUAGGAUUCCGAUGGAUUUGUCCUAUCUAAGGCCCUGCCAUUCUACAGUAAGGGCAUUCGAUGGAACAAGAUGAGAAGUCAUGGGAAAAAUCGAGAUCUCUCUAGAAGUGGGUCCCUAUAUAUAUGAUGUUGAGUUUCAAGUCAUGGACAUUACACUAUCAUACAAUUAUCUCUUGGGAAGACCUUGGAUCCAUUCUACUGGAGUAGUCCCAUCAUCCCUCUAUCAAAAGGUGAAAUUCAUCAUAGAUGGCUGUUUGGUCACCGUCGAGGGAGAAGAAGAUAUUGUAGCAUCUAUUUCUACCGACGCACCAUACAUUGAAGUGAGUAAAGAUGUUUUAGAAUAUACCUUUUGAUCCCUUAAAUUUGUCAAUGCCACAUUCGUCGCUGAGGGAAACAGAAUUCCCGAGCCAAAACUGUCAAGAAAUACCAAGAUGGGUGUCAAACUGACUGUAGGAAGGAAAGCUCGAGCGAGAAAAGGUUCAGGGAGAUAUCUGCAAGGAAUAGUCAGGGCUCUAAAGCCAGUACACCACAAGGCCCGAUACGGUUUGGGGUUCCAGCCAGACAUACGUCAAAGAAAAAACAGUGGAAGAAGGAUCAGGAGAGAAGGAUUGCGAGAACUUUGGGCCGAGAAGUAGAAUGGGAGCCCAUAACGUACCCUCCUUUGUCAAAAACAUUUAUAUCUGCAGGGAUGAUAUACCCCGGACAGGAUAAUAUACAAAUCACGCUGUUAUUAAUUGAAAGGGGUCUUCAGAAUGUCAGUAUAAAUGUCAUUGACAAAGGAAGUGAGGCUAUUAAAGAUGUUUCAACGAUACGCCCUUGUCCUCCUGGUUUCAUGUUGAACAAUUGGACCACCGAGGACCUUCUUGUAGUUUAUAAGUCUUCAGAGUAAUGCUCAAACAUUAACCCUCUAUUGUGUCCUUAGAUAUAAUAGAAUUCUUUUGUAAGAGCUUGCAUUCGCUCUUUAUCAUUUAAAUGAAUAUCAAUGAAGAUGUAUUUUGUCACGAUCUUUCGCAUUAUCACUAAUUUCAUGAUCAUCUUCUCAUUUCAUAGCCUAUCUGUACAUUUGCCUCAUACCAUGCCAUAACAUUUCGUUUGUUGGUUCCAAUACUGGGAUGCCCCUCUAUAGUUUCCUUUUUCAUUCAACUUUCAGGUGCACAUAUAUCAACAGCAUGAACAAACCCGUUACGAGUCCUGAAAUCGAUUUUGAGAAGGCUAUUUGUUUAGGAGAAUUUGAAGUUGAAGAAAAUGCUGAAGACUAUGUCUCGUCUCCUAACCUGCUAAGAAUGGUAGAACAAGAGGAUAAACAGAUUUUGCCUCAUCAAGAAUCUGUUGAAACAAUAAAUUUGAGAACUGAAGAAAAGAAGCAAGAGGUGAAGAUUGGGACCUCCAUUUCAAGGAGCACCAGGAAUAAUUUGAUUGCUUUACUCCUCGAGUACAAAUAUGUAUUCGCAUGGUCAUAUCAAGACAUGCCAGGAUUGGAUGAAGAUGUAGUAGUCCAUAAGCUCCCAUUAAAGCCAGAAUGCAAACUCAUUCAACAAAAGCUAAGACGGAUGAGACCUGGGAUGUUGUUGAAAAUAAAAGAAGAAGUCAAGAAACAAUUUGAUGCGGGCUUCCUACAAGCCUCCAAAUAUCCAGAGUGGGUGGCUAACAUAGUCCCGGUACCAAAGAAAGACGGCAAAGUACGAAUGUGCAUGGAUUAUCAUGACCUGAACCGAGCAAGUCCUAAAGAUAAUUUUCCCUUGCCACACAUUGAUACGUUGGUGGAUAACACAGCAAAGCAUUCAUUGUUUUCUUUCAUGGAUGGAUUCUCGGGGUAUAAACAAAUCAAGAUGGCCCUUGAGGAUAAGGAGAAAACUACCUUCGUAACAAUGUGGGGAACAUUCUGCUACAAGGUGAUGCCAUUUGGGUUAAAGAAUGCUGGGGCAACAUAUCAGAGGGCUAUGGUAACAUUAUUCCAUGACAUUAUGCAUAAAGAAAUAGAGGUCUACGUCGAUGAUAUGAUUGCUAAGUCCCAAGGGGAAGAAGAGCAUGUAGCGAACCUGAAGAAGUUGUUCGACAGACUGAGAAAGUUCUAGCUAAAGCUCAAUCCGGCCAAAUGUACGUUUGGGGCUACCUCAGGAAAAUUGCUUGGCUUUAUUGUCAGCGAGAGAGACAUUGAAGUUGAUCCAGAUAAAAUAAAAUUCAUUCAAGAGUUACCACCCCCGCGCAAGCAAAAGGAAGUCAGAGGAUUUUUAGGGAGAUUAAACUACAUCGCCCGAUUUAUCGCUCAACUUACCAACCGGUGCGACCCAAUCUUUCGACUCCUUCGAAAACAUAAUCCCGGAGAAUGGAACGAGGAGUGCCAAGUGGCUUUUGACAAGAUAAAACAGUAUUUGUCUAAUCCUCUAGUGCUAGUACCGCCAAUGCCGGGAAGACCAUUGAUAUUAUAUUUGACUGUGUUCGAGAAUUCAAUGGGUUGCGUACUGGGGCAACAUGACGAGUCAGGAAAGAAAGAAAAGGUGAUCUACUACCUCAGCAAAAAGUUUACUGAAUAUGAGGCAAAGUAUUCGUCCAUAGAAAAAUACUACUACGCUCUGGUUUGGGUAGCUCGGAGACUCAGGCAAUAUAUGCUGUAUCAUACGACAUGGCUAAUUUCAAAGUUGGACCCAAUAAAGUACAUGAUGGAAUCACCCGCACUCUCAAGAAGAAUGGCACGAUGGCAGAUCUUACUAUCAGAAUAUGACAUCGUCUAUGUGAGCCAAAAGUCGAUAAAAGGGAGUGCAAUAGCUGACUUCUUAGCAACUCGAACAACAGAGGAAUACGAGCCAUUGAAAUUUGAUUUCCCAGAUGAAGACUUAAUGUGCAUUACAGAAAAAGAAUGUGAGUCAUCAAAAGAAAAGUCAUGGAAGAUGAGCUUUGAUGGUGCAUCGAAUGCAUUGGGGUAUGGGAUUGGAGCAGUCUUAGUAUCACCAGAAGGGAACCAUUAUCCGUUCACUGCUAGGCUAAAUUUCUCCUGUACCAAUAACAUAGCGGAAUAUGAAGCCUGUAUCAUGGGACUUCGUGCAGCAAUUGAACGAAACAUCCAAACUUUAGAGGUAUACGGAGACUCAACAUUGGUGAUUUAUCAGAUCCGUGGAGAUUGGAAAGUGAGGGAUUCAAAAUUAGUCAAAUACGGUGAUCUCGUGGCAGGGUUGAUUAAAGAAUUCAAAGAAAUAAUUUUUAAUUACUUCCCACGAGAAGAAAACCAGUUAGCUGAUGCCCUGGCCACUUUGGCUUCAAUGUUUAAAGCAAACAGAGAAACAAAAAUAAUGCCUCUUCAAAUGAGCAUAUAUGAAGUUCCUGCACAUUGUUUCAGUAUUGAGAAAGAGCCAGAUGGGCAGCUAUGGUUCCAUGAUAUCUUAGAAUACAUCAAGAAUCAAAGGUAUCCCGAGCAAGCAAAUGUGAACGAUAGAAGAACAAUCAGAAGAAUGGCAGCGGGAUUUAUUCUUGAUGGGGACAUCCUAUACAAAAGAGGAAAAGAUCAGGUGCUCUUGAGAUGCGUGGGUGCUGUUGAAGCCAGAAAAAUACUUGAAGAUGUCCAUGAGGGAAUCUGUGGGACACAUGCCAAUGGUUUCACUAUGGCCAGGAAAAUUAUAAGACUCGGUUAUUAUUGGCUAACGAUGGAAAGUGACUGCAUUAGUUUUGCACGAAAAUACCACAAAUGUCAAAUUUAUGGUGAUAAGAUUCAUGUAGCCCCUUCGCCCCUUCAUGUCAUGACUUCUCCGUGGCCGUUUUCUAUGUGGGGCAUGGACGUUAUAGGGUUUAUCUCUCCAAAAGCUUCUAACGGACACCGAUUCAUUUUUGUGGUUAUUGAUUACUUCACAAAAUGGAUAGAAGCCGCUUCGUUUGCCAAUGUGACAAAGACUGCAGUUUGUAGGUUUUUAAAAAAGGAAAUCAUUUGUUGAUAUGGUUUGCCUGAAAGAAUCAUUUCAGAUAACGCCAUGAACCUGAACAACAAGAUGAUGAAAUAAGUAUGUGAACAAUUUCAAAUAAAGCAUCAUAACUCAUCACCUUAUCACCCGAAAAUGAAUGGAGCCGUUGAAGCGGCCAACAAGAAUAUUAAGAGGAUUAUUGGAAAAAUGAUCGAGACAUAUAAAGACUGGCACGAGAAGCUACCCUUUGCUCUGUUUGCAUAUCGCACAUCUGUACAGACAUCUACGGGAGCAACUCCUUUCUCUCUGGUCUAUAGAAUGGAAGCUGUGCUACCUAUCGAAGUUGAGAUCCCCUCUUUACGAGUCUUAAUGGAAUCAAAACUAGAAGAAGAAGAAUGGGUUCGAGCUCGAUAUGACCAGUUAAACCUUAUUGAAGAAAAACGUCUGAAGGCAAUCUGCCAUGGACAGAUGUACCAGAAGAGAAUAAUCGCAACCCAUGACAAGAAAGUACAGCCAAGAGAAUUCCACGAAGGAGAACUCAUGCUGAGAAAGAUUCUCCCAAUACAAAAAGACUUGCGAGGAAAAUGGGCACCAAAUUGGGAAGGUCCAUACGUCGUAAAGAAGGCAUUCUCGGGUGGAGCUUUGAUUCUCACUGAGAUGGAUGGGAAGGAGUUACCGAAUCCAAUAAAUUCAGAUGCUGUGAAGAAAUAUUAUGCUUGAAAAAAAAAAUCAAGAUGAAAACCCGAAAGGGCAUCUUAAAAAAAAGAUCAAUGUGAAAAUUCGAAAAGGGCGUCUUGAUUAACACAAAAGAUUAGGAUGAAAACCCAAAAAGGGCGUCCUAAUGAAACAAACACUGGGCUUAAAGAGCAAGGCAUUUUGAACAUUGGGUCAAAAAGUGAGACUACAGUAUUGGAAGCAUUUCUGGAAAGCUCGAAAUCUUCUACGCAAGAAGCCAUGCUCGAAAAGAUUCUAGAUGAAAGAACGUGGAAGAGUUCAUGUGUUAAAUAUCUAGAGCAUUUGUAUCCGUUGAAUGCGAUCCCUUUUCUCUUUAUGACACUUUUUACUAUCAUUGAUUAACUUUCUUUGUUUGCUACAUUUGAAAUAAAUAAAUGUGAGGUAGCCUUUUUGCCCCUACCUAACCAUUUUCAUGCAUCUCAUUAUGUGUUUAUUUACAUGAUAAAUAGUGAAAUGACAUACUCUAAACAAAAGAAAUGUUAAACAUUACCUGAAUGAAAAUUUGACAAAUACAAGAGCCUCAAAGCAAGGACAAAGUUCAACCAGGGACAAAAGAGUGAUAUCUAAAAAACGUCGAUUACUCGCAAAGCUUGAAGACGGGUACAAAACUUGAAGAGAAAGUCAAGAGUCAAAGCAAUGAAUGCAAAUCAUCAAAAAUCGUGAUGGAAAAGGGGCAUACGAUAAACAUGCCUAAGGCGCAUAGCAUAAUCAUGUAGGCAUAAAGGCAUUUAAGAUAAACAUGUGCAUAUCAUGAUGACAUCAUGCAUGACAUAUACAGGUAUUCCAGUAGAGCAAGAGGGUGUGAUGAUAGCUGUACUGAAUCAAAGGAAAAGACACCUGAAUUCUACCAAUGACAGGUUUUGGUAUUUUGAUGUUUUAAUUCAUGUUUUCAAAAUCAACUCAUAUUGCGAGAAGUGAGUUGAGCCUUUUAAUUUCUGUUUUUAAUUUAUACUUUUCAAAAAUCAACUCAUAUUGCGAGAGGUGAGUUGAGCCUCGGGGUACGUUGAGGUAAUUUUAAUUUCUGUUUUUCAAAAAAAUCAACUCACAUUGCGAGAGAUGAGUUGAACCUCGGUUCACAUACUGAGGUAUUUCCAAUUUCCGUUCUUUCAAUUUAUGUUUCAAAAGAAUCAACUCAUAUUGUGAGAGGUGAGUUGAGCCUCAGGACACGCUGAGGUAAUUUCAAUUUCUGUUUCUGCUUUUCAAAAAUCAACUCAUAUUGCGAGAGGUGAGUUGAGCCUCAAGACACGCUGAGGUAUUUUCAAUUUUUGUUCUUUCAAUUUCUGUUUUAAUUCAUGUUUUCAAAAAUCAACUCAUAUUGCGAGAGGUGAGUUGAGCCUCAGGACACGCUGAGAUAAUUUCAAUUUCAAUUUCUGCUUUUCAAAAAUCAACUCAUAUUGCGAGAGGUGAGUUGAGCCUCAGGACACGCUGAGGUAUUUUCAAUUUCUGUUCUUCCAAUUUCUGUUUUAAUUCAUGUUUUCAAAAAUCAACUCAUAUUGCGAGAGGUGAAUUGAGCCUCAUGGCACGCUGAUGUAUUUUCAAUUUUUGUCUUUAAUUUUUAUUUUUCCAAAAUCAACUCAUAUUGCGAGAGGUGAGUUGAGCCUCGGGGCACGCUGAGGUAAUUUCAAUUUCUGUUUUCAAUUUCUGUUUUUCAAAAAUCAACUCAUAUUGCGAGAAGUGAGUUGAGCCUUUUAAUUUCUGUUUUUCAAAAAGUCAACUCAUAUUGCGAGAAGUGAGUUGAGCCUUUUAAUUUCUGUUUUUCAAAAAGUCAACUCAUAUUGCCAGAGGUGAGUUGAGUCUUUUAAUUUUUAUUUUUCAAAAAGUCAACUCAUAUUGCAAGAGGUGAGUUGAGCCUUUUAAUUUCUGUUUUUCAAAAAGUGAACUCAUAUUGUGAGAGGUGAGUUGAGCCUUUUAAUAUCUAUUUUUAAAGAGUCAAUUCAUAUUGUGAGAAAUGAGUUGAGCUCAAGAUCACAUGCCGAGCAAGAAUAAAGAUUGAAGCUAAUGAAAGACACCAUUUGUCCUCCUUGAAGUUGUAGUAAAGUAGGUCAAAGUUGCAAGUCUCGUCCCCCUGAAGUUGCAGUGGAGCUGAUCGAAGAUAUCAAAGCUUACCUUUUUAGAGUUACAGAAGAGAAGAUCACAAACCCUAUCUCACUGAAGCAAUAGAAGAGUAGAUUGAAGCUGUAGACCUCAUCUUUCUGAAGCUGCAUGGAAGCAGAUCAAAGCUACAAAUCUCAUAUCUUUGAAGUUACAUUGAAGUAGAUUGAAGCUACAAGGCAUAUAUCAGAAGAUGCAAUGGACCAAAGCUACAAGAUACGAUGGACUGGAAGAAGACUAUUUGAACAAGAAGAGCACCAAUGAAGUCAAGACUCAGCAAAACUGGGCAAAAUUGGCCUUUCAUUAUGUCUUUGCUCCAUUCCCGUUGCACGAAAAUGAGCAAAGAGGGGCAGCUGUACAGGCCAAUUUUGGACCCAAUACAACAAAACAUUAACCCAACCUUAACCCAUUUACAUCAGACCCAAUAACCCCCCAAACCUUAACUCAAAUCAAACCCAUUCCCAAUACAUUACCCAAACCAUUAAGCCCAUUAUCCAAACCCUACCCAAUCAGCUACCCGGAGCCCAAUGUUACCCACAAGCCCGUUUGCAAUAUUCAGCCCCAACCCACCUAAACCCAAAUCUACCUAUAACCUAAACACUCAACCCCAAGCCUAAAAGCCCAAUUUUAGACAUUAGGGUUUCAGUUUCUAAAACCCUAAACCUGCCUAGCGCCGCAACCACCCCCACCAACCCUCUGACGACCCUAUGCCCUCUGACAUUGCCUCAACAACCGCUCCACCGUCCUCCAUAUUGCACCAUCCCCUGCAAGCAUUAAAAGAGAAUAGACAGCAAGCAAGAAGAGAGCAGUAUAUAAUCAAAACAUACAAUGUAAAAAGGGGGUUCCUUUUUUCGUCAGUUUUGAAAACAAAAAGAAAUAAGAACAAACCAUUUCAAAUAUGAAGCAACAAUAGCAUUUCCCUCAGUACUUAGACACAAAAAAAUAGCAGCCAAGCAAAAAGAACAUCUCAGAUCAAAGAAUCAGAAACUAAAAUCGAAGGGUGAUUAUUUUUUUUCCUAUUUCUAUUUCGUUUUUUUAACUUGUUUUAAUCUCCCAUACAUAUUAAAAUAUAAUAAGAUAAUAAAAUAAAAAUAACAAAAAAAUG
rnacentral:lncRNA from 1 species